UAACUACAGGCAUGAGAAAGCAACUAUAUCAUAGGUACAAUAUAUUGUCACACGCUGACAUUAACAGUAUGCAAGAAAUCUCAGAAUUUUAGACAUUUGACAAUAAGAAGUUCAUAAUCAACAUUUGUACACUUAAGAUCCAAACAUUACAUGCUAAUCUGAAUUUUGUUUCGCAAGUAGGAAAUACCACUCUAGCAUUUGCAAAGUACAGUACCAUCUUUAGUACUGAUCUGAACAUAUGAUCCAAUCAGUAAACCCCAAUAUGAUCCAAACAUUACAUUUAGCAUUUGUACACUGAAUUUUCUUUAGAUCCAACAUAGUCUACUAGAUGUGCAAGAAAUGCAGAGGCAAUAGUUUUCUCUUCUCGGUCUUUAGCUCGAGUAUUGCUUUCCGCUGCUCCUCCAAGGUCAUCUCCUAUAUAAUGGUGGCCAGAGCACAUGUUAUCUCAUUAACAACAUCAGACAUGAGAAACACCAGAAAGACUGCAAGCAUGCCAACAAACUAAGCUGGAGAAACCAAAUUGCCAGUCACUUGAUCAGCUUUGCCAUAGCUCAGAAGCUCAACAACAUCGACAGGAAGAAAAACUACACACAUACACAGGAAAGUGCGCCACCUACCUACUUUUAAUUUCUACUAUCAGUCUCAGUUAUGAAAGCUCAUUUGUGGAUGAUAACAGGCAUAGAAAUAUGUAGCUAUUUUCUUCAGGUUACAACGCCACCAUUUCUGCAGCCAAAGUUUCAUCUAGUGGCACAACCCUAAAAAUAUCAGCCAAAUCGUCAGAGAUGGCACCACUGAAGAUCAUUCGUUAGAUAUUUUCUGUUAUCUACUCGUAUUUGUUUCACUUUCCUACUGGACUCAAGUCUUAAUCCAGUCAAUCUAAAGGUUAACACAUACACUGAUCAUUUGGGUGGAAUCUGUUUGUUUCUACCCGCAAAAAGAAAGUAUCCAUUUUAACGCUAGACAUAAUGGCGUGGUGUCUCUAAACCACAAUACCAUCAUGUCAGCAGCCAAAGUUUCACCACAAAAAUCUACAAUCAGCCACGACCGAGAACACAAGAAAUCUAUAAAGGAUCCUCGAAAAUCAUCAACUUGCCGUUAGCUACUGGUUUUCCACCAAAUCUAUAAUUGCUUUGUGUAUGUCAGUAGAAAAAUGAAAAGGAUGGUAGACAAAGGCAACUAACCAACAUAAAAUGAAGGUAGCACUGAUCAUGAAUACCUAGACCCUCCAUCCGACACCAGAGAGCCUGUGAUUCACAAAUUUGGACCAUCAAGAUUAAGAUCAUGAAGAAAUUUUCCAAAUCACAUAGUAUUUUGAUUGUUUGAAGCAGAGGCAAACUGAUCAUACCAUUUCCAUCAGAAGAAGUUGGAGUAGGUCUAUAUCCUGGCCUCAAAUGACUGUUGAAAAUGUAUACAUGUAUUACUAGCUAUACAUUGGAAUUUGUAAGUCCAUAUAUUCAUGAUGAGUAUCUUCAUUUUCCGUUACAGAAUUAUUAGCAAGAACUAUCGUGAUUAGAAGAUCUUGAUACCAAGUACACUGUUAUAUCUAAGCAAGCUGCAGGUGUAGGAGGCAUCAUCUAAAGUACCAGAGCAUGGGAAAAAUAACAUUACCUUGCAAAUGAUCUUGGAAAACUUGACAUCCUUUGUACAGUGUUAGACAUCAGCGAACCUGUGUCAGAAAUUGGAAUGCUUUAACAAAAGCAAUAUGCUACAUAUAUUUUCAGUGAAUAAAAAUGACAAAAAUAGUUGAGAUUGAUGUGUUACUACCUAUUCCGUCAGAUGGCAUUGGCCGCUCAGUUGUGAAACCUAGCCUUGUUGCAGUAGUGCCGUCCAUAGGAGGUGAAAUGCCAACCAAGUUAGACACGACAUUUUGUAGCCAAUCGAUCUUCUUCUGUUGAGCUUCAAGUUGAGAUUGUUGAGCCUCAAUUUGAGUUUGUUGUGUAGCAACAAUCUCCUUUGUAGAGGCCAAUUCUUCCACUACAUGCUGAGUUGAGCUUGAUGCGCUUGAGUAAGCCCUUCUAUUUGGUUUUGGUCCAUGACCCCGACCUCUGAUGUAACCAUAUGCCUUACCAAGCACAUGCUCGCAAAUCUGUUGCUCUGUUAAAGGUACUUCACCCUCCUCUAUGGGUUCCUUUUGCUUCUGCAACAUUUCUUCCUGCAUUAAUAAUACAAGAAAUGAAAGGCAUUUACAUUCUUAAUUUCAGCAACAUAAUGAUGUAUUUAAAAGUACCCAAAUUCACUAUUAGUAUAAUGCAACACUAACAACUUUGAACCUAUAAUACCUAAAUCAGAGCACCUUGAUCAUGUUCCUUCUCUGCCAGGCAAUUGAAAUCAUAUAUUCCCGGUCCGGCCAUCAAGCCCAACAGCCUGUGGAGGAGAAUCGGGCACCGGUUUUGGAUGGGCAACAUGUUUUUAGAUGAGUUACCUCUUGGGUUGCACGAUAAGUGCCUCUUUUUCUCUCUGGUGAUUUACAAUCCAUCCCAGUAUUAUCAUAAUACCAGUAGAUUCUAUUGUUGUAAUAUGCUGUCACCUAUCUGGCAUCCUGAUCUCUUUCUUUCUGACACAAAAUAUUGCAGUCCAGGGGAUGUGAAAGAUGUUAUAUCUAUUUAUUUUUUACGGGAAGAUGUUAUAUCUGUUGGCGCAGCUUCGAUCUUGACGACGCAGCACGCCCGGGAACAACGAGGAUGAAGCGGCCGAAAUACGUCCGGAAGCUAAUUUGUUUAGAAGCAAAACACACGACGGCCUACAGCUAAACUAGCUCGAAAUUUGCGACAUGCACACACGCCAGAUUGAUCUUUUUUUCCCCUCCGCCAUGGCUUCCCUGUAGCUUUUCUCCUUUAUAUAGCUGAUUACAAAGACUCCACGACUCAUACGCACUGGUACUUCUAGGACCAAACGGCCUAAAACUCAAACACGUAUAUGAAUGAAACUCUAAACUGACGUACAUAUGUUUGGAGUAUCUAACAAUAUAUAUCUACUCAAGGAUUAAACAGGUAAGUAUUUCUACCCUACUAUUGCUCAUUUAAUUGUUUUCAUGUUCGUAGAAUUAGGAAACAGUUCCAUUAAUUUUUUCAGUAUGCUGUUUGCAGAAAAUUAUGCAAAGAAAGGCAUAGCUCAGCUGACAGAAAUAUUUACACCUGGAACUUCUUUAUGGUUUGAGUUGAAUGACCUUUUUGAAUUUCUUUAUGGUUUUAGUUUUAGAAAAUGUGACCAGCAUAAGUUAAACAGAAAUACUAAGUAUUUUACUUUGCUGAGUCAGGGAGAUUUCAUGCACAUCUCCCUAAUAAUAGUGCAUCAUCUACUACAGGUCAUGAGAAAACAGGGCACUUCAAAGUUUGUACCUAUGUCAUGCACAUGGUGAAACAGUUUCAAGCACGGUUAAAGCUCUAGCUAUUAUUUUUCUCUGUUUUAGUGGUCAUUUCUCCCAUUUCUUGCUCUCUAGUUCUCAUUUGUAUCUAAGUAUUCUCAUUGCUUAAUCUCUCUCAACAGGAAUUAAUUUGUUACAUGGUACUUACAUGUUUAUUCCUGGCAUCUUCUGAUGCCCAUCCCUUCUUAUCACUAGAGUAACACUCCUUGUAUAGUCUGAUAUCGCCACAAUUCUGAUAAUACAAGAUUCAAAGUCAGAAGACAUGAAUAUAAGAUAGCUACAAGUUUCGAUAUUCUGCUUUCACCACAAUUGUGACACAAGAUAAAGAUAAGUAAUAGUGACUUACUAAUUCAUGUUGAACCGCUACAAAUGACUUUGUUCCCUUCUUGUGAACAUAAGGUAGGUUUGAGCGGUUAGCCUUCCCAAUUGUGGACCGUUUCUGCAUAUGGUAGUAUUCUGUAAACAAAUAAGGCAUGGUUGAGUGAUAAAGAUAGAUGCAAAACUGUUGACAUCCAUUCAAAGACUACCAUACCUUAAAUUCUUCUGUUUCAAAAUGAUCACAGAGACAAAUCCAGUCUCCAACUCUAUUAUCAAUAAGGGGAGGAUAUGGAUUGCUUCUAGCAUCAUCACCAGAUUUUACAUAAUGUUCAUAACACUUGUGACGGAAACUUUUGUAGCUUGAAGAGAAUAGCAGAUCCACACAGCCUUUGAUAUGAUCUUGGGUGAAAUCAAGAUUGAACUUAAGCUACGAAGAAAGAACUCAAAGUUAAAACUACACAUAUUCUAAGUUCGAAAGUUUGAUAAUCUUACAUACCUUUAGAAGUUCAUACAACGGCUCCUUAUCAUCCUCAGUAAGACUAUGCUACCCGGCACGUUGGAUAGGUGCAUGGUACCGUGUAAGAAGUCCAAUCUCUCUGGAAAGUAGUUCAUUAUUUUCUCCAAUAGGUCUUCUCUCUUCGGAGAUGGUCAAGUUUAGUGGAUGACCUGCCCUUUUGAUCAAACGCUCCAAGCCCUUUCCCUUAUUUAUCCCACGCACCUUCCUGGAUUUUGAUGUUGAGGUACUCCCAGAAUGUUGACCUUGAGAUUGUGGGGCAUUCCUUGGUGGGCGAACUGUUCGUCCAGGUCCCAUCUGCCAUAGAAUUAAAAGAAUGGAACAAUACCCAGAUUGUUUAUAUUAGAAAGAUAGGGAAAUCAGAUUUGCUACGUCAACAGAAACAAACCACGAGUUACAUAGUAAUUAGAUAUGUUGUGGCAACAUAAAUAAAUCAUAAGUAUCAAUAGUAAUCCGAAAUAACCUGAAACAGGAUACAUAUAGUCUGAUAUACACUAAAACAUGACACCAUUAUUCUAAUAUAACCUGAAACGGGACACAUGUAGUCUAACAUAACCUGAAAUAGGAGACAUGUAACCCGAUACAACACAUAUUAUUCUACUACUCUGGUUCCUCUUCAAAAUUAUCCUGAGAGACAUGGCUCUCCUUCAAAGAUGCCAACUCUUUUGGAUCAGUAACAAUUUCUGGUGCAACAUCAUGUCGACACGAGACAUUGCCUUCAAAAGUUUCAUCGAUGGAAACAUUGGUAGCUUCCUCCUCUUGAAAUGCAAUAUCUUCGCUAGCAUCAUCUUCAUUGACUUGAUUCCAAACCUCUGGAUCGAAAAGAUGGCGAUGCGGAGCCUUCUGCACAACUAGCCAAUCUCCCUUCAAUUUUGUAUCACGUACAUAGAAGACUUGGCUCACUUGACUAGCUAGUACAAAGGAGUCAUCUUGGUACCACUUGCUUCCUAUAUUAACACUAACAAAGUCGUCAUCGAUCCUCACAGGCUUGUUACUCUCUAAAUCAUACCAUUCACACUCAAAUAAAGCAACAUGUCGAUCAUUGGGGUAAUUCAGGACAUAUAUAUUUUUAAGAAUACCAUAAUAUGUGAUAUUUUGCCCCUUAUGUUGGCCCUCUGUGCACACACCACUAUUCUGACUUUUACGACCAUCUUCACGCUCCUUUGUCAAGAAUCUAACACCACCAACAAUGCAUCCUAAGAAUUUGUGUACUCUCUUAUGCGGUCCAAUUGCCAACGCAUACAAACAGUCAGACACUAGGGAUGCUCCUUGGUUGCGCAGAUUGAUCACCUAAAUUCCACAAGUAAUGCAAGUUAACUCAUGGAAGCCAUUGCCUGGAUUGGUGUAGCAUGAUUGGCGAAGCCAUUGCAAGUUAACUCAAGUAAUAGCAUGAACUUACUCUUUGGCGCAGCCAUGAACCAAACUGUUCAUGUUGCCUAUUUUCAAUAUUAUCCGCACCUUCAGCCAGUAGGGCAUCCUCAUGCUCACUAGAAAGAAAUGUCGAGGGAUGAGUUUCUAACUAGUUGAGGAUGUAUAAUUAUAACUUAAAGUUUAUAACAUGUAUACUUACUAUAGGUAUUCUUGUAGUUCCUCACAAUUAUUUAGCACAUACCAAGACAGAGAAUCAUACUGAUCUUGUGUUAACAUAAGGUCAUCCCUAUGGCCAAAAGCACGGAAACUAGUUGAGAAUACCGAGAAACGAUCAAGUGGUUGUCUCUCCCCAUCAAAAUUCCGCUCUUGUCUAUUGAACCUUGUCUCAAUUCCAUGUAGAUACAUGGAGCAGCAUGUUGAGCACUCCUUCAUAACAUAAGCUUUAGCAAUUGAACCCUCUGGGUGUGCCCUAUUGCUCACCAUGCCUUUCAAAGUACCAAGGAACCUGCAGCCCAAAUUUUCUUACUACAACACAUUUCUACACACUAAUAGAACUGUAGAAGGAUGGAAGGACUAAUGUGAUGAAGAACACGCUACCUUUCAAUGAAGAACAUCCAUCUGUAUUGUACAGGACCUCCAAGCCUUGCUUGCUGUGGUAGAUGCACUGCUAAGUGCACGCUAAUAUCAAAGAAUGCAGGUGGGAGAAUCAUUUCUAGUUUGCACAAUACAAUUACUAUUUGUUGUUCCAACUUAUCCAAGAUAUCCAGCUUCAAUGUCUUGGAGCAUAAUUGGCGGAAAAAACUACCAAGCUGCAGAAGUGCAUCACAGAUAUCUUUGUGCAAAAAUCCUCGCAUUCCAAUCAGGAGUAUUCUCUGAAGAAGAAUAUGGUAGUCGUGUGUCUUCAGCCCAGUUAUUUUCCCAUCUUUACUUAUACCUUUUGAUAUAUUUGCAGCAAAUCCAUCUGGGAAGCAAAUAGAUUCUAGGAAUUGCAGAAACUCAAGUUUCUCAUCUCUGGUUAAUGUGUACCAUGCAUGAUGCUUUUCUAUGCUACUUCCCGUAUCAUUCAAGUGUAGAUCUGCUCUGAUAUUCAUGUCUUCUAAGUCCUUGCGGGUCUUAAGUGUGUCCUUGGACUUGCCAUCUAUGUUUAAUAAAGUCCCAAAUAAGCUCUCACAAAUGUUCUUUUCAAUGUGCAUGACAUCAAGAUUGUGUGGCAAUUUCAGAUCCUUCCAAUAUGGUAGCUCAAACAAGAUGCUCAUCUUUGUGAAAUUUUUCCCUGGCAUGUCCUUUGAAGAUGCCUUCUUUUUCUUAUUUCCAGGAUGUUUUCCGUAUUUGAAGCCCUGGAGAUGAUCUAACUUCUGCAGCAAUUCAAAAAUGCCUUUCCCAGAUAGUUGUUUUGGUGGCCCAUUGUAGAAUACCCAAAUACUGAAGCUAGUGCUGGAAGGUCGUGAAUAGUCCAUAGCAAUACUGCACGCAUAUUGAAAGUACCUCCUUCAACAGCGUCGAAAGUAACAACUCCUGGAUUAAAUAAUUGCUUUAGUUCUUCUACCAGUGGCCUCAAAUACACAUCAAUGUCCCUUCCUGGUGACUUCUUCCCAGGGAUCAAUAAUGUCAUGAGCAGGAAGGGCUCUUUCAUGCUUCUCCAUGGAGGCAAGUUAUACACAACUACAAUGACAGGCCACACACUAUAUGAGCUACUCAUAAUUCCAAAUGGAUUGAAACCAUCGGUGCCAACCCCGAGCCGCAAAUGGCGAGGGUCUUCAUCCAGCCAGGGAUAUUUCUUAUCCAUAUGUUUCCAAGCAUCGCCAUCCGGAGGACCCCUCAACACAUUUGGUUCGACAACUCUCUUAUCCCUAUGAUAACGCAAAUCUGAAGCUAUUUCCUUGUUCAUGAACAGCCGUUGUAAUCUAGGGAUUAAGGGAAAGUAGCGCAACACUUUCUGAGGUACUCGCUUCCCCUUGCCCUUUUGUGUCUUCCACCUCGAUUCCUUGCAAACUGGGCACUCGUCCUUGUCCUCAUGCUCCUUCCAGAAUAGAACACAAUCAUUUUUGCAAGCAUCAAUACUUUCAUAACCUAGCCCUAGAUCUCUCAGCAUCUUCUUUGCUUCGUAGUACGUGGCUGGAAGCGGGUUACCGGCUGGCAAAGCCUCCUUCUGAAGCUUGAGUAACAUGUCAAAAGAUUUGUUGCUCCAAUGGUUAAGAUCUUUGAGGUGUACCAGCUUUAAAACAAAGGAUAGCACCGAGUGACCUUUGCAGCCCGGGUACAGCUCACGUUGUGCACUUCUGAGCAAGCCGUCAAAUCUGGUUGAUGACUCAUUGGGCUCCGGAAUGCUACCUCCAGCAGGAUUAUGGUUAUCUUGCUCGUCAACCCCAACCGUGGCUCUAUGGAUAUCUCCUAGCAGAUCUUGGACCAUAUCAAAUCCAUCAAAAUCAUCAACAUCUUCCUCAUCUUCAAGUGACUCAUCAACUUGGUCUUCAUCAUUGCUAACUUGUUCUCCAUGGAAUACCCAUUUUGUGUACGAAGUUUGUAUACCAUACAAUAACAAAUGGGUUCGAACUUGACUAACACUCUGCUGACUUAUAUUCAUACAAGUUUCACAAGGGCAACGCAUCUUAUCAUUGCCGUUGUUAUGUUGACAAGCAAAAUCAAUGAAUGCAUUCACCCCUGAAACGUAAUCGCUUGAAAACCUAUCAGGCAACCUCAUCCAACUCUUAUCCAUACUCUAUCUUUUCCUGCACAAGCACUCUACAAGUGAACCAAAAUAGUACUAGAAAUGUAAAAUAUAACAACAUAACCACAUUACCUACAAUAUACAAGGAACUGUAUAAUGUUGUACUAGAAUAUAAUAUCACAGCAGCAACAGUCCAAGGAACUGUAUAAUGUUGUACUAGAAUUGUAUACAAGGACAGUCUUCAAACAUUCUACUACAACAUUAUACAAAGACAGCCUUCAUAGAACAGUAUAUCCUUGGAAAACAUUAUACUACAAGUCCUAAUGCUAUAAACAUUAUAUUCAAAUCACAAAACCGAACUCUACAUCAUAGGCCAAGCCAGUUUUCAAAUUACAAAGUAAAUGCUACAUGUAUAUUUUACUUCCACAUUUCCACAAACACUUGAAGUGCAUGAUUUAGCCAUCAAGUACUCCAAGGAAAUUAAUGGAGAGACACUGGGAAGGAGGCAAGGACAAAGGGGAGAUCAUUCUUACGGGUUGAAGCCUAUGAGAGCGAGAUCUCGCGAGCUUGGGCGUCUCCUUCAAAGCUGGUUGGGGAAGAAGGAACCCUAGGCGCCUGUUGCAGCAGCCUAGGUACGUUGACCACGCGGCGGGCGCCUGUCUGCUAUCGCGGCCGCUCCUGCGUCCCCUCCCCCACGCAGCCGCGCUGCCACCAUCGCCGCAAGGGACACGGCCGCCGCUGCCGCAAGGAACGCGCCCUCCGCCUUCCGCCGCCCCCUCCGCCGGAAGGAACGGGCCCUCCGCCUUCUGCCACCCCCUCCGCAAGGACCCGCCGUGGCCGUCGGCCGCCGCCAGGGACGAUUUGAUUUGGGGAUUUGGGGCGAGUCGUCUUGCCGUCGGCCGCCGCCAGGAAAGAGCUCUGCCUCGCCUCUGUUUUCUUCGAGCGUGGGGAUGGAUGCCCUGGAGCGGAGCCG
rnacentral:lncRNA from 1 species